rnacentral:rRNA from 1 species
UACGGGGGGGGUAAGCGUUGUCCGGAAUUACUGGGCGUAAAGAGCUCGUAGGUGGUUUGUCGCGUUGUCCGUGAAAACUCACAACUCAAUUGUGGGCGUGCGGGCGAUACGGGCAGACUGGAGUACUGCAGGGGAGACUGGAAUUCCUGGUGUAGCGGUGGAAUGCGCAGAUAUCAGGAGGAACACCGGUGGCGAAGGCGGGUCUCUGGGCAGUAACUGACGCUGAGGAGCGAAAGCGUGGGGAGCGAACAGG